rnacentral:rRNA from 1 species
UACGGAGGGUGCGAGCGUUUGUCCGGAAUCACUGGGCGUAAAGGGCGCGUAGGCGGCGCGGGAAGUCAGUGGUGAAAGCCCGAGGCUCAACUUCGGGGUCGGCCACUGAUACUCUCGGGCUCGAGUCGACUAGAGGCAGAUGGAAUUCCGGGUGUAGCGGUGGAAUGCGUAGAGAUCCGGAAGAACACCGGUGGCGAAGGCGGGUCUGCUGGGGGUCGAAACUGACGCUGAGGGCGCGACAGCGUGGGGGAGCAAACAGG